rfam:Brachypodium distachyon strain Bd21 chromosome 3, whole genome shotgun sequence.
UUAGUACUCUCUCCGUCCAAUAAAAAAUGUCUCAAUUUUGAUCAAAUUUGAAUGCAUCUAUACACUAAGUCAUGUCUAGAUACAUCUAAAUUUUGACAAACUUAAGACAUCUUUUAUUGGACAGAAAAAUUAUAGC